UACGAAGGGAGCUAGCGUUGUUCGGAAUCACUGGGCGUAAAGCGCACGUAGGCGGAUUUGUCAGUCAGGGGUGAAAUCCCCGGGCUUAACCUGGGAAUUGCGCUUGAAACUAGGUCGCUAGAGUGUGGCAGAGGGGGGUGGAAUUCCACGUGUAGCAGUGAAAUGCGUAGAGAUGUGGAGGAACACCGAUGGCGAAGGCAGCCCCCUGGGUCAAGAUUGACGCUCAUGCACGAAAGCGUGGGGAGCAAACAGG
rnacentral:rRNA from 1 species